AUGUAUUGUGCGCUCACGCAUUCUGAGGUACCGGUGAGUAAUAAUAAGAAAAUUUGGCGGUCGAAGAUACCACUCAAAGUUAAAGUCUUCAUGUGGUAUCUUCGUAGGGGAGUUGUUCUAACCAAAGACAACCUCGCACGGCGCAAUUGGAAAGGGAGUAAGAAGUGUUGUUUUUGUACUCAUGAUGAGACCAUCAGACACCUCUUUUUCCAAUGCAACUUUGCACGUUCUACGUGGUCAGUCAUCCAAAUAGCGUCAAGUUUAUAUCCGCCCACAAGUGUUGCCAAUAUUUUUCGUCAUUGGUUGGACGGUAUUUCAAAUAGGUUCAAAACGCUAUUAAGGGUGGGAGCGUAUGCCUUACUAUGGUCGCUUUGGCUAUGUAGAAAUGAUUUUGUUUUUAAUGACAAAAAUACUUCUCCUUUGCAGGCUAUUUUCUGUUGUACGCACUCGCUUCGUAUGUGGUCUAUGCUACAACGAGCGGAGGUCCAACCGCUGUUCAAGGCGGUGUGUACGCGGUUGGAGCAGGUGGCUACGGAGGUUUUUACCCAACAUGGGUGGCGGCCUAACCUCCGGAUCGGUCCAUCUCUGAAGCAGCACAAAGUUCGUGGAGGAGCAACUCCACCUUGCUGCUACAAUGUGUACAGCACAAGUGUUGAAGGAACAGCUUCAACGUGCUACGCUAGAUAUCGCUCUAGAGGCGAAUGUAGGUUGAUAGGGCAGCAAGAGUUCAAUCCAGAACUCCUAGGGCACAAGAUCUACUCCAAGAUCUUAGAUAAGAACAACAAGUUCUAUUAUAGGUAG
rnacentral:rRNA from 1 species